rnacentral:rRNA from 1 species
GAUGAACGCUGGCGGCGUGCCUAAUACAUGCAAGUCGAGCGAACAGACGAGGAGCUUGCUCCUCUGACGUUAGCGGCGGACGGGUGAGUAACACGUGGAUAACCUACCUAUAAGACUGGGAUAACUUCGGGAAACCGGAGCUAAUACCGGAUAAUAUAUUGAACCGCAUGGUUCAAUAGUGAAAGACGGUUUUGCUGUCACUUAUCGAUGGAUCCGCGCCGCAUUAGCUAGUUGGUAAGGUAACGGCUUUCCAAGGCAACGGUGCGUAGCCGACCUGAGAGGGUGAUCGGCCACACUAGAACUGAGACACGGUCCAGACGCCUACGGGAGGCAGCAGUAGGGAAUCUUCCGCAAUGGGCGAAAGCCUGACGCAGCAACGCCGCGUGAGUGAUGAAGGUCUUCGGAUCGUAAAACUCUGUUAUUAGGGAAGAACAAAUGUGUAAGUAACUAUGCACGUCUUGACGGUACCUAAUCAGAAAGCCACGGCUAACUACGUG